UGGAAAUGGAAGGAAGACCAGCAGGUGGAGCCAAAUCAGCUCUGAACUGGUGGAACAACCUCCAAUCAAACCAAAGUUGUUCACCUGGAGAAUUCUUACUUGGAGGAGAACCGAGUUGGUAAUGUCUGUUUAUCUGCAGAGGUGAGAAAAGCUGUUUGUGCUCUUUGAUUAAGGAGCCAAAAAUUGUUAAAGCUUCUUCACAGAGUUUUUCUCAGUUUGUGCCCUGGCCUCCUCUAAAGGUGAUUGGUGAUAGGAAGAGGAGACUUGAAUGGAUUCUUCACAAAAGGAACAAAGAAGCAACAACUGACAGAGACCUCAGCACUCUUCCGAUGAUGACCUCACGCAAGCAAAGAGAGAGAAAUCAUUCACUUGUGAUCUUUGUGCAAAGAGCUUUAUCACAAGGAGGCAGCUCGGAAGACACCAAUGCUUCCACAAUAAGAAAAGAUGCUUCACUUGUGAUGACUGUGGAAAGUCUUUUACUAAAAAGAGUUAUUUGACAAGGCAUAAGCUCAUCCACACUGGGGUUAAACCAUUCAUCUGUGAUGAGUGUGGAAAGUCUUUUACUCUGCAAAGUGACUUAAAAUCACAUCAACUCAUCCAUGCUGGAGUUAAACCAUUCAUCUGUGGUGAAUGUGGAAAGUGUUUUACUGAGAAGAGUAAUUUGAGAAGGUACAAGCUCAUCCACACUGAGGUUAAACCAUUCAGCUGUGACCAGUGUGGAAAGUCUUUUACUUCGCAAAGUGCCUUAAAAUCACACCAACUCAUCCACACUGGGGUUAAACCAUUCAUCUGUGGGGAGUGUGGGAAGUCUUUUACUUCGCAAAGUGCCUUAAAAUCACACCAACUCAUCCACACUGGGGUUAAACCAUUCAUCUGUGGGGAGUGUGGGAAGUCUUUUACUUCGCAAAGUGCCUUAAAAUCACACCAACUCAUCCACACUGGGGUUAAACCAUUCAUCUGUGAUGAGUGUGGAAAGUCUUUUACUCAGCAAAGGGACUUAAAAUCACACCAACUCAUCCAUGCUGGAAUUAAACCAUUCAUGUGUGGUGAAUGUGGGAAGUCCUUUACUCUGAAGGGUUACUUGAAACAACAUCAGCUCAUCCACAGUAAAGCAAAACCUUAAAGUCGUGACUAGAAAUGCACCAGUUCUACGUUUGGUUGGUAUAUCAGUCUGAUCCAAAUGAGUCAACAAGUUGGAUCAGAUAUCGCUGCAAAUCUAUUGCUGCUCACUGACUUCAGUUAUGUUUUGUGUAACACUUGUUUAGAAGAUUUUGCUGCAGUCACAGCACCAUGAAGUGUUGCUACCAACUCAGUUACUAUCGUUUCGCUUCAGGUGUUUCAGGUCAACUCGACGAACAAAAUAUGAGAACAAGGGACAGAGUUCCUGUAUGCAUUCAUUAAAACAUUUUGAAGCUUUCAAGCAGAUUGAAACGGUACCUCUGUAUUUUUACUUUGUUUGUUAUUUUGUAAGUAAAAAGCAAUACUUGGUAGAUUAAUACUGGUUCAUGCAAAUGUAUUGAGCUAUAUUGUUUAUUUCUUGUGCUUCUUGGGACUCUGUUUUGGUUGCUGGUCACAUAGAUGUGGUGAGCGUUGACUGUUUGUUGCUGGUAGAUUUUUCUCUGGUGUUCAUUUAACAUAAAACUGUUAAAUGAACACUGUCUGUUAAUGUUACAAACUGCCAAAUUAACACUAUCAUCUUUUUUUGUUAGCAUAAGCUGCUAGUUGCUACAUUAAUGAGGUCCAUGCCCCAGUUUUUUGAGGUGUUGCUGCCAUUAGAUUCAAUUUUUUUCUUAUAAUUGUACAUUUUUAUCAGUUUUUCUUUUCAACAUUUUAUUAUGUGUAAAACAUGUCUUUAAGCUUUUAAAUCAUUGCAUCCUGUUUGUAACUAUCUUUGUGUCCAUUUUUGUUUUUACAUAUUUACUCUUUAAUCAGUAAAUUGGACACAGUGAAAAUGGGAGUCUGAUUC